CUGCUGCCUUCCGUAGGAGUUUGGACCGUGUCUCAGUUCCAAUGUGGCCGAUCACCCUCUCAGGUCGGCUACUGAUCGUCGCCUUGGUGAGCCGUUACCUCACCAACAAGCUAAUCAGACGCGGGCCCAUCCUUAUCCGAUAAAUCUUUGAUGGAAAGAAGAUGCCUUCAAACCAUAUUAUGCGGUAUUAUCAGUCGUUUCCAACUGUUAUCCCCCAGAUAAGGGCAGGUUGCCCACGCGUUACUCACCCGUCCG
rnacentral:rRNA from 1 species